rnacentral:rRNA from 1 species
AAGGAAUAUUGGACAAUGGAGGCAACUCUGAUCCAGCCAUCCCGCGUGCAGGAUGAAUGCCCUAUGGGUUGUAAACUGCUUUUGUGAGGGAAGAACCGAAGACAUUUAUGUUUUUUUGACGGUACCUUACGAAUAAGCACCGGCUAACUCCGUGCCAGCAGCCGCGGUAAUACGGAGGGUGCAAGCGUUAUCCGGAAUCACUGGGUUUAAAGGGUGCGUAGGCGGCCUGUUAAGUCAGGGGUGAAAGGUUACGGCUCAACCGUAGAAUUGCCUUUGAUACUGACGGGCUUGAAUCAGGAUGAGGUCGGCGGAAUGUGGCAUGUAGCGGUGAAAUGCAUAGAUAUGCCAUAGAACACCAAUUGCGAAGGCAGCUGGCUAGACCUUGAUUGACGCUGAGGCACGAAAGCGUGGGGAGCGAAC